rnacentral:rRNA from 1 species
UACGUAGGGUGCGAGCGUUGUCCGGAAUUAUUGGGCGUAAAGGGCUCGUAGGCGGUUUGUCGCGUCGGGAGUGAAAACUCAGGGCUUAACCCUGAGCCUGCUUCCGAUACGGGCAGACUAGAGGUAUGCAGGGGAGAGCGGAAUUCCUGGUGUAGCGGUGAAAUGCGCAGAUAUCAGGAGGAACACCGGUGGCGAAGGCGACCGCCUGGACGAAGAUUGACGCUGAGGCGCGAGAGCGUGGGGAGCAAACAGG